GCCUCGGUGGAUCAUGGUGAAUCGUCCCUGUUACGUCAGGUAGAGUACUGCGUAGACAAGGGGAAGGCGAGGGUUCGAAUCCUUCUCGAGGCA